UAAUUGCAGCCCGACUUGAGUGGAAAUCCUUUUUGCCUGCGAAAACCUUUCUUUCUAAAAAACCAAUUUCGUGGCAAAAAGAUUGGGAACGGAAGGCGGAAAUGCUG
rnacentral:sRNA from 1 species